AUACGUAGGUGGCAAGCGUUAUCCGGAUUUAUUGGGCGUAAAGCGAGCGCAGGCGGUUUUUUAAGUCUGAUGUGAAAGCCCUCGGCUUAACCGAGGAAGCGCAUCGGAGACUGGGAAACUUGAGUGCAGAAGAGGACAGUGGAACUCCAUGUGUAGCGGUGAAAUGCGUAGAUAUAUGGAAGAACACCAGUGGCGAAGGCGGCUGUCUGGUCUGUAACUGACGCUGAGGCUCGAAAGCAUGGGUAGCGAACAGGAUUAGAUACCCUGGUAGUCCAUGCCGUAAGCGAUGAAUGCUAGGUGUUGGAGGGUUUCCGCCCUUCAGUGCCGCAGCUAACGCAUUAAGCAUUCCGCCUGGGGAGUACGGUCGCAAGACUGAA
rnacentral:rRNA from 1 species